rnacentral:misc_RNA from 1 species
CUUUAGGAGCUGCACACACAGCAUAGCGGAUUUUCGCAAGGCGGAAAGUCAUGUCCGCCGACCACCUACGCGUCAUGCAGCGGUGCUGUCGAACCACCACCACCGCAGCCCUCCUCUUCCUCCUUAGUGCUCUCCUUUUCCACCAUUGCCCCGUGGACAGCAGCAAUGGCAGCACAGAUGUAAAGGCUUACCGGGUUUCUCGUCCGGUUUUCGCCGCUGCGCAGCUGCGGCAGUGCGCGCAGCUGCAGGACCUCGGCAACUACGGUGUCAAUCUGAACCUGUUUGCUCCGAAAACCGUCUACCUCAACGGCGAGUACUUUUGCGCCGAGAGUGCACCAGCUCAAUAUCGCUGCAGGUGCGGUGUCGCCACCACGUGCAAGCCGAUGCUCGAUCCAUGGGAGCGCGACAUUGGCUCCUGUGACUGCUGCUCAUCAUGGAUGAUCGGCUGCUUUGUUAUACUGGGCGUUUUCUCAGCCAUUAGCGUCUUCGGGGCGGUGUACGUGGUGGGGUGUCAGGGCAAGUGGUGGUGUGAUGGGUAUGCAACUCUGAAGACGGCGCUUAUACCGCGACGUGGGCCGGCUGUGAGCUGCCCGCCGUCGCGGCCGCUGCCGCAGAACCUCUUCCGCGGGUACGCGUCCGCUGACUUCACGAACGCCGAGGCGUUUCCUGAGAUGCCUGUGAGCGCAGUUACAGCGCCCACAUCGCCUCAGGUGAACACCCCCGGCGUUGAUGAUCCCAACCAUGGAGCUGUAUUCGGCUCUGAAGCCGAGUAUGGCGAGGCGCGCGUGCGGUACCCCCUGCUGCCUCCAGAGUUGCGCCACGCUAACGUAGCGGCCGCUGGCGAAUCACGCGCACCUGAUUUUGCCACACGCGCGGUGUAGUCUAUCCUCGCGCAACCCUCUUCUCAUCAGUGCCUUCGCCUCCGCGUGUCACAUCAGCAUCUGCAUUUGUAACACGUGCGGUUCCCUACCCGCACCCUAUACAUCAUUAAUCAUCGCGUUUGAGAAUCGCUUCCUUCGCUCUCCGGAUGCUUCUACCUCGUUUUGUUUCGUGUGUACCGUGCACGCUCCUCUUCCAUACGAUGUGACAAACGACAGGUCGUUCAUCUCCCGCCAAUAUCUCUUCGUUGACGGUUCGCUGUUUGUUUUCUUCUUCGCUGUCCAGCGCCACCCGCCCCGUUGUCCCCUCCCAUGUAUACCAGCUAAACAUUGAGGGGUCUGCCUUGCUUAUAUCCUUUUCGCUGUCGUCGUUUUGCGCACCGCAUGCACGGCUGUUGGGAUGCGCGUGUCUGCUCUGCUUUCUUUGCGACGGUGGCGAUUUGCUUGCUCGCUCUCUCUCUCGUGACGGGGUGCCAUUGCUGAUGGGUUUACGGUGGUGUUUGCGCCCCCUUCCAUAUUUUGGUGCCGGCCACGCUCCUCCGUUAUCGUCUUUGUGGCUUUCUUUCUUUCUCAUGCCUCCGCCUCACUGUAAUGUCUCCCUCCCUCCUCCCUCAUGACGGAGUAAAUGGUGGUGGUGGUGGUGGUGAGGGGGGCAUACGUCAGUGCGUGGUAUCACAGGGCCCAGCGUGCCCCCAAUCUCUGUGCGUGGGGAAGCCAAGCCUCCGCUAACCCCUGCUAAAUGCCCAGCCACCUCUGGUGGUGACAGGGUCAAGCGCCUACGACGUAGGGAUGGCCAGGGCGAUGUAUGGCUACCGAUGUCGGCGGCCAUGUCCUGGAUCGGCGUUGCGUCGGAGCGACCUGCGGCCGUGCACACGCUUGUGCCAUCCAUGUGAUGGGCAUCGUGUCCGUGCGAUUCGAACGUAUCUCACCCCCCCCCCGGCCCUCGCACUGCCUGCUGGUGCGGGGAGCCUGAGUGUCACCCCGCGGGAGAUGCACCAGGGGUGGCGGCCGGCAUGAUGGGAGCCGCUGUGAGGCGACCUGCGAUGCGGGGGCGGUGCUCUACGGUGACCGAGUCGGCGCAUUGCUGCGGCGCGUGUGUCCAGGGCUGUUUUGCACCACCAGGCGUGGCCUGUGGCCGGCCAGGGGGCGGGGCCGGGUGGAGUGGCGUUGAGCGCAUGCUACAUGUGAGCGAAUGGGCACGUUGAGAGAAAAGAAAAGGGGCUUAUGUCUCGUGCUCUCCUUAUUCUAGAAAGAGCCCACAAAGCGGGCGAAAGCACUCCGGGCCCACUUGCAGUCUUCGACCUUCGAAACAGCGCGCAGUCCAGUCAUGGCGGAGAGGCGCAAAGGGCUGCAGCGCGAGAGGUCAGUGUGGAGCUGUCGUCGAGCAAAGAACAGAGAGCAAGAUGUCGUUGUGUGCACUUACGCAGGCGCCCUACAGCGCCUUCUCUUUCGCUCUUCACUGCCUCCAUGCGCCAAGACGAGGCCGCGUGUGCGCAAUCGUCCACCGCUGCAAACCCCCUUCAAAGAGGAACGGGUGCGAACGGCAAGGAAGCCGUCCACAUAUGACUGUUUGAAUGGCUGUCGAUCCCGUUGGCGCGAAGCAUAUCCCU